rnacentral:rRNA from 1 species
GAUGAACGCUGGCGGCGUGCCUAAUACAUGCAAGUCGAGCGAACGGACGAGAAGCUUGCUUCUCUGAUGUUAGCGGCGGACGGGUGAGUAACACGUGGAUAACCUACCUAUAAGACUGGGAUAACUUCGGGAAACCGGAGCUAAUACCGGAUAAUAUUUUGAACCGCAUGGUUCAAAAGUGAAAGACGGUCUUGCUGUCACUUAUAGAUGGAUCCGCGCUGCAUUAGCUAGUUGGUAAGGUAACGGCUUACCAAGGCAACGAUGCAUAGCCGACCUGAGAGGGUGAUCGGCCACACUGGAACUGAGACACGGUCCAGACUCCUACGGGAGGCAGCAGUAGGGAAUCUUCCGCAAUGGGCGAAAGCCUGACGGAGCAACGCCGCGUGAGUGAUGAAGGUCUUCGGAUCGUAAAACUCUGUUAUUAGGGAAGAACAUAUGUGUAAGUAACUGUGCACAUCUUGACGGUACCUAAUCAGAAAGCCACGGCUAACUACGUGCCAGCAGCCGCGGUAAUACGUAGGUGGCAAGCGUUAUCCGGAAUUAUUGGGCGUAAAGCGCGCGUAGGCGGUUUUUUAAGUCUGAUGUGAAAGCCCGCGGCUCAACCGUGGAGGGUCAUUGGAAACUGGAAAACUUGAGUGCAGAAGAGGAAAGUGGAAUUCCAUGUGUAGCGGUGAAAUGCGCAGAGAUAUGGAGGAACACCAGUGGCGAAGGCGACUUUCUGGUCUGUAACUGACGCUGAUGUGCGAAAGCGUGGGGAUCAAACAGGAUUAGAUACCCUGGUAGUCCACGCCGUAAACGAUGAGUGCUAAGUGUUAGGGGGUUUCCGCCCCUUAGUGCUGCAGCUAACGCAUUAAGCACUCCGCCUGGGGAGUACGACCGCAAGGUUGAAACUCAAAGGAAUUGACGGGGACCCGCACAAGCGGUGGAGCAUGUGGUUUAAUUCGAAGCAACGCGAAGAACCUUACCAAAUCUUGACAUCCUUUGACAACUCUAGAGAUAGAGCUUUCCCCUUCGGGGGACAAAGUGACAGGUGGUGCAUGGUUGUCGUCAGCUCGUGUCGUGAGAUGUUGGGUUAAGUCCCGCAACGAGCGCAACCCUUAAGCUUAGUUGCCAUCAUUAAGUUGGGCACUCUAAGUUGACUGCCGGUGACAAACCGGAGGAAGGUGGGGAUGACGUCAAAUCAUCAUGCCCCCUAUGAUUUGGGCUACACACGUGCUACAAUGGACAAUACAAAGGGCAGCGAAACCGUGAGGUCAAGCAAAUCCCAUAAAGUUGUUCUCAGUUCGGAUUGUAGUCUGCAACUCGACUACAUGAAGCUGGAAUCGCUAGUAAUCGUAGAUCAGCAUGCUACGGUGAAUACGUUCCCGGGUCU